GAUGAACGCUGGCGGCGUGCCUAAUACAUGCAAGUCGAGCGAACAGAUAAGGAGCUUGCUCCUUUGAAGUUAGCGGCGGACGGGUGAGUAACACGUGGGUAACCUACCUAUAAGACUGGGAUAACUUCGGGAAACCGGAGCUAAUACCGGAUAACAUUUAGAACCGCAUGGUUCUAAAGUGAAAGAUGGUUUUGCUAUCACUUAUAGAUGGACCCGCGCCGUAUUAGCUAGUUGGUAAGGUAACGGCUUACCAAGGCGACGAUACGUAGCCGACCUGAGCGGGUGAUCGGCCACAAUGGAACUGAGACACGGUCCAGACUCCUACGGGAGGCAGCAGUAGGGAAUCUUCCGCAAUGGGCGAAAGCCUGACAGAGCAACGCCGCGUGAGUGAUGAAGGGUUUCGGCUCGUAAAACUCUGUUAUUAGGGAAGAACAAAUGUGUAAGUAACUGUGCACAUCUUGACGGUACCUAAUCAGAAAGCCACGGCUAACUACGUGCCAGCCGCCGCAGUAA
rnacentral:rRNA from 1 species